rnacentral:tRNA from 1 species
GGGCCUGUGGUCUAGUUGGUUAGGACGCCGCCCUCACACGGCGGAGAUCCCCGGUUCAAAUCCGGGCGGGCCCA